CUCUUCCAUUGCUCUGUCCCCAGCGCCGGCACUCUUCUGCUCAGUCUAGCCUCGCUCUGUCUCCCCGAUCUGCUCGAGAGCCUCCUGCACGCGGCGGACUCACUCCCCUCUGCCUCAGCUCACCGUCCUCCUGCUGUCGCACAGCGGCGAUACCACCACGACGCCGCUCGCUUCCUUUCACUGUACUCGUUAGGCCGGCGCUUCCCUUCGUGUCCGCCGUCGGCGCGAGGCGCCGGCUGGCGGAAGCUCUCCCCAAGGCCUCCUCUCCCCGACACGCAGUCGGAUGCUUCGUCCUCUCCCGCCACGACAUCGCCCAGCACAUUCUACCCCCCCUAUGGCUCUGCCCGCCGCUUCCUCUCCCCACCAUGAUCUUAUAUUUGGGCUAACCCCGUCGGUAUUCCCUUGAUCUACUCUAUUGACUAUUGCCGUCGUCCGGGCGGAGCUGUACGGCGCGCAGGGUACGGCGGCGGCAAGAUUUGUCUGGAUGGAAUCCCUAUGGUUGAUCCCAGUACACGCAGGACCCUAAGGAUUUAUCCCCUUGAUACACUCACGAAAUGGGAGGUUUUGGAUUCAACUGUAAUUGUGAUUUGUGCAAAGACUUUGGUAUACUUUGAAGCAAAGCUAACAAGGCUAAAGUCAAACAGCUAUGCCUCCAAUGCUUUGCUUGACACUGUGACAGUAGCAACAGUCCAGGGUGUAGGGGCAUAUAGGUGAGUUGAGCAGCGCGCACAGACAGAGCAAACAACCCAGACUGAAAAAGAGGAGAAUUUGGCACGAAAGGCCCUCUGCUGCCAACAAGAACAAGUAAGGUGAUAUCGGGUCCCCCUGUCGGAUCCCUUUGGAGGGUGUGAAUUCUUCAAGUUUGCAUCCAUUAAAUAAGACCGAGAAUUUGACUGAACUUACCAAGCCCAUCACAAUACCAACCCAUCGUUCUGAGAAGCCAAGCUUCAACAUAAUACCUUGAAGGUACUCCCACUCCACCCUGUCAUAUGCCUUCAUCAUAUCAAGUUUCAGUGCACAAGAUUGGUGUUCCUUUGCCUUGUUUCUUUUCAUAAAGUGCAAACACUCGUAAGCUGUAAUAAUAUUGUCAGAGAUGAGCCUACCCGGAACAAAGGCGGAUUGUUCCUCGGAGAUGAUAUCUGGGAGUACUUGCUUCAAACGGUUGGCAAUCACUUUUGAGGCUAUUUUAUAAAGUACAUUGCACAAGCUGAUGGGUCAGAAUUGUGAAAGUAGGUACCACUCUGGUGAUGUCAUCCCUGCAUACCUCCCACUGGCGUUGGAAAAAAUGUGCAGGGAACCCGUCCGGACCCGGUGCUUUGGUGGGAAACAUUUGGAACAAAGCCACCUUCACCUCAUCCUGACUAUAAGGUGAAUUCAAAAGCUCGUUCAUCGCCGGCGUCACCUUGCACGGAACCGUGUCCAAGACCCUAUUCAUGUCAUGCACGCCUUCAGAAGUGUACAGGUUUUUAUAGAACAUUGUAGCCAUCAUCUCCAUCUCCUCUCUGACUUCCGUGGUUUGGCCAUUCUCCUUCAACAGGGAUUUUAUUUGAUUUUUCCUGCGUCGUCGACUAGCACGAAGAUGGAAAAAAUAUGUAUUUUUGUCCCCGUGCUUAAGCCACUCGAUGUGAGCGCGCUGUCUCCAGAGAAUUUCUUCACGAUGAUACAAUUCCACCAGGCGAUCUGUAGCUUUUAUUUCUGCAUGGGAAGGUCCCAUCCGACCUGGGAUCUGGCGCCAUACCUGUAGCUGGCUUUUCAAUUGGCUGAUCUCCCUUCUCACAUUCCCAAAAUGCUCCCGGUCCCACUGGGAUAAGUCAGCCCCCAAGCUUUUUAAUUUAUCUGCUA